rnacentral:rRNA from 1 species
UACAGAGGUCUCAAGCGUUGUUCGGAUUCAUUGGGCGUAAAGGGUGCGUAGGCGGCGCGGUAAGUCGGGUGUGAAAUCUCGGAGCUUAACUCCGAAACUGCAUUCGAUACUGCCGUGCUUGAGGACUGGAGAGGAGACUGGAAUUUACGGUGUAGCGGUGAAAUGCGUAGAUAUCAGGAGGAACACCGGUGGCGAAGGCGGCCCUCUGGACGGAUACUGACGCUGAGGCGCGAAAGCGUGGGGAUCAAACAGG